CAGAGGGGGCAAGCGUUAUUCGGAAUUAUUGGGCGUAAAGGGCGCGUAGGCGGCCUGGCAAGUGACGGGUGAAAUCCCUCGGCUUAACCGAGGAACUGCCUGUCAGACUGCUGGGCUUGAGACCGGGAGAGGUGAGUGGAAUUCCCAGUGUAGCGGUGAAAUGCGUAGAUAUUGGGAGGAACACCAGUGGCGAAGGCGGCUCACUGGACCGGAACUGACGCUGAGGCGCGAAAGCGUGGGGAGCAAACAGGAUUAGAUACCCUGGUAGUCCACGCCGUAAACGAUGAGUGCUUGGUGUAGCGGGUAUCGACCCCUGCUGUGCCGAAGUCAACACAUUAAGCACUCCGCCUGGGGAGUACGGUCGCAAGACUG
rnacentral:rRNA from 1 species